rnacentral:rRNA from 1 species
GAGUUUGAUCAUGGCUCAGAUUGAACGCUGGCGGCAGGCUUAACACAUGCAAGUCGAGCGGUUUGGUUAGCUUGCUAACCAGAUAGCGGCGAACGGGUGAGGAAUGCUUGGGAAUCUGCCUAGUAGUGGGGGAUAACGUUUCGAAAGGAACGCUAAUACCGCAUACGCCCUACGGGGGAAAGGGGGGGAUCUUCGGACCUCUCGCUAUUAGAUGAGCCCGCGUCCGAUUAGCUAGUUGGUGAGGUAAAGGCUCACCAAGGCGACGAUGCGUAGCUGGUCUGAGAGGAUGAUCCGCCACACUGGAACUGAGACACGGACCAGACUCCUACGGGAGGCAGCAGUGGGGAAUAUUGGACAAUGGGCGAAAGCCUGAUCCAGCCAUGCCGCGUGUGUGAAGAAGGCCUUCUGGAUGGAAAGCUGUUUAUGCGAGGAAGAAUGGCUGACGGUUAGUAACCUUCUGCAGUGACUGUAC